ACUGCGACAAUGGCGACUUCCUGUACAAGGACUCUUGCUAUCACUUUGAGGGAAUAGCGCGCCCUUGGGCGGGAGCCGAGAGGUUCUGCCAAGAAUGGAACGGUCACCUGACCAACGUCCUCUCAUGGGAAGAGCGCCAAUUCUUGGCUGCUCACGCGCCAUAUGUAGAAGGUUUGCAAUCUUGGGUGGGACUCAAGAAGAACAAGGGCAACUUUGAGUGGAGCGACUCAACACCUGCAGGCAACACCGAGUGGGUUCCAAACGGGCCGAUAGGACGUGGUAACUGUGCUGCCUUGUCGCAGACUGGGAAACUUGAGGACUGGCCAUGCACCAAAAACCAGCCAUUCAUCUGUAAAAAAGCCAAGGUCCAAGACUUUCUUCUUUCUCUGCCGCCACCAGGCCGGAGCGCAAAGUGCGGCUGGUGGCGGGAGCGGACCUCCUCCGACUUCUGCUACCUGAUCCAACGCAGGCCAACCAAGGUCUGGAAGGAGGCACGAGACGACUGCCGCCGCCGCGGAGGCGACCUGCUCAGUAUCACCGACUCACAAGAACAGGACUUCAUACAAAGUGGUCUGUCUGUCUGUCUG